UACGGAGGGUGCGAGCGUUAAUCGGAAUUACUGGGCGUAAAGGGUGCGUAGGUGGUUGGAUAAGUUAUCUGUGAAAGCCCGGGCUCAACCUGGGAAGGUCAGAUAAGACUGUUCGACUCGAGUAUAGGAGAGGGUAGUGGAAUUUCCGGUGUAGCGGUGAAAUGCGUAGAGAUCGGAAGGAACACCAGUGGCGAAGGCGGCUACCUGGCCUGAUACUGACACUGAAGCACGAAAGCGUGGGGGAGCAAACAGG
rnacentral:rRNA from 1 species